rnacentral:ncRNA from 2 species
AUUCAACGACAGGGGAGCGCAGCCGUCGGGCGUCACUGGCAUUUGCCAGGAUCCGCAGGUGGGCGCUGAGAGUGCGGACAGCCGCAGACCCUCGAACCUGAUCCGGUUAGUACCGGCGCAAGGGAGUCGAGUUCUCGAAGUG